rnacentral:rRNA from 1 species
AUUGAACGCUGGCGGCAUGCCUUACACAUGCAAGUCGAACGGCAGCACGGGAGCAAUCCUGGUGGCGAGUGGCGAACGGGUGAGUAAUGUAUCGGAACGUGCCCAGUCGUGGGGGAUAACGUAGCGAAAGCUACGCUAAUAUCGCAUACGAUCUAGGGAUGAAAGCGGGGGAUCGCAAGACCUCGCGCGAUGGGAGCGGCCGAUAUCAGAUUAGGUAGUUGGUGGGGUAAAGGCCCACCAAGCCUGCGAUCUGUAGCUGGUCUGAGAGGACGAGCAGCACCACGGGAACUGAGACACGGUCAGGACUCCUACGGGAGGCAGCAGUGGGGCAUUUUGGACAAUGGGCGCACGCCUGAUCCAGCAAUGCCGCGUGCAGGAUGAAGGCCUUCGGGUUGUAACCUGCUUUUGUACGGAACGAAACGGCUUUUUCUAAUACAGAGAGCUAAUGACGGUACCGUAAGAAUAAGCACCGGCUAACUACGUGCCAGCAGCCGCCGUAA